rnacentral:rRNA from 1 species
ACGGUCCUAAGGUAGCGAAAUUCCUUGUCGGGUAAGUUCCGACCUGCACGAAUGGCGUAAUGAUGGCCAGGCUGUCUCCACCCGAGACUCAGUGAAAUUGAACUCGCUGUGAAGAUGCAGUGUACCCGCGGCAAGACGGAAAGACCCCGUGAACCUUUACUAUAGCUUGACACUGAACAUUGAGCCUUGAUGUGUAGGAUAGGUGGGAGGCUUUGAAGCGUGGACGCCAGUCUGCGUGGAGCCAACCUUGAAAUACCACCCUUUAAUGUUUGAUGUUCUAACGUUGGCCCCUGACCGGGGUUGCGGACAGUGUCUGGUGGGUAGUUUGACUGGGGCGGUCUCCUCCCAAAGCGUAACGGAGGAGCACGAAGGUUAGCUAAUCCUGGUCGGACAUCAGGAGGUUAGUGCAAUGGCAUAAGCUAGCUUGACUGCGAGCGUGACGGCGCGAGCAGGUGCGAAAGCAGGUCAUAGUGAUCCGGUGGUUCUGAAUGGAAGGGCCAUCGCUCAACGGAUAAAAGGUACUCCGGGGAUAACAGGCUGAUACCGCCCAAGAGUUCAUAUCGACGGCGGUGUUUGGCACCUCGAUGUCGGCUCAUCACAUCCUGGGGCUGAAGUAGGUCCCAAGGGUAUGGCUGUUCGCCAUUUAAAGUGGUACGCGAGCUGGGUUUAGAACGUCGUGAGACAGUUCGGUCCCUAUCUGCCGUGGGCGCUGGAGAAUUGAGGGGGGCUGCUCCUAGUACGAGAGGACCGGAGUGGACGCAUCACUGGUGUUCGGGUUGUCAUGCCAAUGGCACUGCCCGGUAGCUAAAUGCGGAAGAGAUAAGUGCUGAAAGCAUCUAAGCACGAAACUUGCCCCGAGAUGAGUUCUCCCUGAGACUUUAAGUCUCCUGAAGGAACGUUAAAGACGAUGACGUUGAUAGGCCGGGUGUGUAAGCGCAGCGAUGCGUUGAGCUAACCGGUACUAAUGAACCUGUCUCUUAUACAC